rnacentral:lncRNA from 1 species
CUCAGGAGAUCCUUCCUCUUGGAGCCCUUCUGCAAGCCCAGGACACAGUUCCCCCCCUUCCUGACCUGGGCAGCCUUUGGGAAAGAUCUGCUGUCAUCCUGGAUGAUUUCGAACCUUACAGUAGAGGUUCAUUAGCAUCUUUAGCAACUUUGGAGAUCCACAUGAAGCAAAGUCAUACCUGCAGGACCUCAAUGUUUGAGGCAGUGAAGGAUGCUGAAUUUCAAUGAUACCCACAGAAGGCGAGCUGGUCCCAUGCUGUUGCUGGCUCAGCACCCGUUUGCCUGGAUUUGUCCCUGGAACAACAAAGAAGAGCCCAGCGAGGGGUCAGCAUGGUUCAUUUGCCCUUUGGCCACAGCUUGCCAACAGGAUCCAGCUGAAUAGCUGCCAGUGCAGCGGGCUGGUGGGAAAAUGCUUGUGGAGCUUCUUGUAGGCAAGGGGAGCUCAAACACUUGUUUCAUCUUGGAAAUGUGUGCCAUUUUUUUCCAAGUUGUCCAAACAUUUGGCUUCUGUAUUUCCAUCAGUGACACAUCCCAGGGUUUCUAAUUGAAAAGGUCUUUUCUCUGCAUGGUUAGGCUGCUUGUAGAAAAAAAGAAAACAGGAAGCUUGAAAUUAUCAAAGAAAAAUAUUUUCAUUGACCUAGAAAUUUCUUACCCUUCAGUUUCUUGGUUAGUACAUUUUUCAAGACUCUUCAUCUCCAUGAGAGAAAUACUGUCAUUACUAUAUCUCAAAAAUGCCAACCGAAGGAAAGAGUUAAUAAUUACCAACAUCUAUUUUUAACCUGAUACCACCAGUCACAUCUCACAGAUGGCAGCUGGACUCCCUUGAGGCUCUGCCAUUGACUUUAUCAAUGAUUUGAAGCCAGAGAGGAUUUAAGUGGGUGGGACAUUCCCCAGCUCUAUGCUAACAGAGUCAGAACAGCAGCUGUUACAGAUAGGUAGGAGCUGGGAGCAUCUCUAAAGAGUCCGUGCUCAAGAAACAUUUAGAUGUUGUUCUAAGGGACACCGUUUAGUGGGGAAUAUUGGUGAUAAGUGGACUGUUGGAUGGGAUGAUCUUCGAGAUCUUUUCCAGCCUUGAUGAUGCUAUGAUGAUGCUAUGAUUCUACAACUGCCCUGCCAGUUUCUGGUGUCACAUGCCUCCAUCAUCCAUCUACCACUGAAAAUAAACUGCUCGUUUCUUUCUCCCCCUCAGUUCCAUAACUCAAAGGAUGAGAUAGAUUUUUCUGCACGUUUCCAAGAAGUUUGCCACUAGGCAAGGACCAGGCAUGCAAAACCUUCAACCUGAGACAUGAAUGUUUGCAAAAGUUAUUAGCUUAUGAAAACAGCUCUAAUGGAAACUGUUUUACUGCCAUCAUUUUAACGCUACGAACAGAGCCUGCUGCAAUAUAUAACAUUAUCAAGUGCCUGUCAGCAUUUAAUAGAAGCCAUAAUUAACUGCUGUGGAAGAACAUAGCAAAAAAUUUAUUUUUAGGAAAACUUUUGGGAGCUGCAUAAUUCUGGCCUUAUUUCUUUCUUAUAAUCCCUCUCUACACGAGCCUUAAUAAAGUUCAUAGGACAGAGUGAAUACAGGACACAGGCGUGUAUCUUGUAGUAUUAGCGAUAGGAUUUUCUUUUCUGUUAAACUACAUAAUCCAGAAACAACAGUGAUGUUUGCUUUGGGACCUGGCCAGGCACUCAGCUCUGGAUUCAGCCUUCCUGACUGGUGCAACUUUCUCAUUUCCAUUGGCCAAAGGUGCUCACAGCCAGGGCUUGGCAGUCCCCAUUUCAGGGUGUCCACCUCCUGGUGCUUCGUGCCCCACAUCAAC